rnacentral:rRNA from 1 species
CCUGCCCUGGAGCGAGGGAUAACAUUUGGAAACAGAUGCUAAUACCGCAUAACAACAAAAGCCACAUGGCUUUUGUUUGAAAGAUGGCUUUGGCUAUCACUCUGGGAUGGACCUGCGGUGCAUUAGCUAGUUGGUAAGGUAACGGCUUACCAAGGCGAUGAUGCAUAGCCGAGUUGAGAGACUGAUCGGCCACAAUGGAACUGAGACACGGUCCAUACUCCUACGGGAGGCAGCAG